UCCCAGCCCAGAGAGAAGGGAGGUGGUGGCAGUAUCAGAGGGGGACCGUAACUCUAACAUAGGAAGAAGUAAGCAGCUUAAAUGGGAGAGCUCAACCUAGCCCAGAAAGGUUGGAUGCUGGUGAAGAGCAAUGAGAGAGAGCGCCACUCACUCAGGGGAAAGGAGAGGAAUGUUGCAACCCUCUGAACAGAGUAUUUCAAAGGCACAUGGAUGUGUAUAGAAAUGGCAGGGUCAGGGUUAAGGACAUGCAAAGAUCCAGGCCCAUUUGGAGACUUUGAGAAGAGAGAGAAAAGCUCCUGAGAGUUAAGAUGACUGAAGAGGGGAAAAGCCAGGAGUAUCUGAUACAGACACAAACCGAGAGACAGAAGAUUGUGUCUGAAUUUCAGCAACUGAGGAAGUUCCUGCAGGAACAAGAUCGACUCCUGCUGGCCCAGCUGGAAAAUCUGGAAAAGGAG